rnacentral:siRNA from 1 species
UCAUACUCGACUGCCAGCUUC